GGCUAGCUCAGUGGGUAGAGCACGAGACUGUUAAUCUCGCUGUGAUGGGUUCAAGUCCCAUGCCA
rnacentral:tRNA from 1 species